GAUGAACGCUGGCGGCGUGCCUAAUACAUGCAAGUCGAGCGAACAGAUAAGGAGCUUGCUCCCUUGACGUUAGCGGCGGACGGGUGAGUAACACGUGGGUAACCUACCUAUAAGACUGGAAUAACUCCGGGAAACCGGGGCUAAUGCCGGAUAACAUUUAGAACCGCAUGGUUCUAAAGUGAAAGAUGGUUUUGCUAUCACUUAUAGAUGGACCCGCGCCGUAUUAGCUAGUUGGUAAGGUAACGGCUUACCAAGGCAACGAUACGUAGCCGACCUGAGAGGGUGAUCGGCCACACUGGAACUGAGACACGGUCCAGACUCCUACGGGAGGCAGCAGUAGGGAAUCUUCCGCAAAGGGCGAAAGCCUGACGGAGCAACGCCGCGUGAGUGAUGAAGGUCUUCGGAUCGUAAAACUCUGUUAUUAGGGAAGAACAAAUGUGUAAGUAACUGUGCACGUCUUGACGGUACCUAAUCAGAAAGCCACGGCUAACUACGUG
rnacentral:rRNA from 1 species